UAACUAUUUAUUUUAUUAAAAAUAAUUAUAAAAAUUUUAGUUUUAGUAUUGUAUAAAGAACAAAUAUAUUUAAUUAUAGUUUAUUAGUAUUGUAAAAUAAAAUUGAAAUAAUUUGAAAAAUUUUUAUUAAAUAAGUAAAUUUAAUUUAUUGUACCUUGUGUAUCAGGGUUUAUUAAAUAAAAAAUAAAUAUUUAUUUAUCUCGAAUUUAAAAGAUUUAAUAAAUUAUAAAAGUUAUUGUGAUAAAAUUAUUUUUAAUAAUUUAUUUGAAAUGAAAAGUUAUUCGUUUUUAAAUAUAUCUAGUUUUUUAAGAAAUAAAUUUAAUUUAAAAUUUUAAAAUGUAUUAUAUUUAUUUAAAAAUAUAAUAUUAUUUAAAAUUAAAUAUUUUAUGGGAUAAGCUGUAAAAUAAAUUUUUAAAAAUUAUUAAAUAAUUUAUAUAAAUAUAUGUUUAGAAUUAGCAAUUAUUUAUAAUUUUGUUAUAAAUUAUUUAUAAAAAUUAAUUAUUUAUUAUAAUUUUAAAUAUUUAUUAAAAUGUUUAUUUUAAUAUUUUAAAUAAAUUAAUAAUGAUAAAAUUAGUAUAUAUUUAUUUAAAAAUAAUUUAAAGUGAUAAGUUUAUGUAAAGAAUUCGGCAAAAUUAAUGUCCGCCUGUUUAACAAAAACAUGUCUUUUUGAAAUCAAUAAAAAGUCUAACCUGCCCAUUGAUAAUUAUUUAACGGCCGCAGUAUAUUAACUGUGCAAAGGUAGCAUAAUCAUUAGUUUUUUAAUUGAAAGCUGGAAUGAAUGGUUGGACGAGAUAUUAACUGUUUCAUAUAAAUUUUUUAUAGAAUUUAAUUUUUUAAUUAAAAAGUUAAAAUAUUUUUAAAAGACGAGAAGACCCUAUGAAUCUUAAUAUUUAAUAUUUAAUAGAUUUUUUAGAUUUAUUUUAUUUGUUAUUUAUUAAAUAUUUUAUUGGGGUGAUAGUAAAAUUUAAUAAACUUUUAUUAUAAUUUUUACAUUAAUUUAUGAAUUAUUGAUCCAUUAAUAAUGAUUAAAAAUUUAAGUUACUCUAGGGAUAACAGCGUAAUAUUUUUGGAGAGUUCUUAUUGAUAAAAAUGAUUGCGACCUCGAUGUUGGAUUAAGGAAUAAUUUUAGGUGUAGAAGCUUAAAUUUUAAGUCUGUUCGACUUUUAAACCCUUACAUGAUCUGAGUUCAAACCGGUGUGAGCCAGGUUGGUUUCUAUCUUUAAUAAAUUAAAAUAUUUUAGUACGAAAGGAGUAAAUAUUUGAAUAAUAGUAUUUUAAAAAUUGAAUAUAAUUAAUAUUU
rnacentral:rRNA from 1 species